rnacentral:rRNA from 1 species
UGAGGAACAUGUCUUUCGGCGGGGAAUAGCCGGCCUAACGGCCGGGUAAUACCGCGUACGACGAUUGGGGCGCAUGCUUCGAUCGUGAAAGCAGCAAUGCACCGAUAGAGUGCCUCGCGGCCUAUCAGCUAGUUGGUGAGGUAAUGGCUCACCAAGGCGACGACGGGUAGCUGGUCUGAGAGGAUGAUCAGCCACAUUGGGACUGAGACACGGCACGA